UGCCUAAACCUGUUUGUUUAAGCAGGCAUGGUAACAAAUCCCGCUACAGAAACGAGAACUCCUCGUCACAACAUCUGUAGCGGGUCAGUAAUCGAAAGAUUGCUGGGUCAUCCGAAAGGUUGCC
rnacentral:sRNA from 1 species